rnacentral:tRNA from 1 species
GCCUGGGUGGCUCAGUCGGUUGGGCGUCUGACUUCGGCUCAGGUCAUGAUCUCGUGGUUUGUGGGUUCGAGUCCCAGGUCGGGCU